CUACGGAGGGUGCAAGCGUUAUUCGGAAUCACUGGGCGUAAAGGGUGCGUAGGCGGUUUGAUAAGUCUGAUGUGAAAUCCUAUGGCUCAACCAUAGAACUGCAUUGGAAACUGUCAGACUAGAAUACUGAAGGGGCAGAUGGAAUUAGCGGUGUAGGGGUAAAAUUCGUAGAUAUCACUAGGAAUACCGAAAGCGAAAGCGAUCUGCUGGGAAGUUAUUGACGCUGAGGCACGAAAGCGUGGGGAGCAAACGGGAUUAGAAACCCCAGUAGUCC
rnacentral:rRNA from 1 species